rnacentral:lncRNA from 1 species
AACACGAUAAUAGAAUGGAAAAGUGAGGUUAACCUUAUAACCGCGUGCUUUAGCGAUACUGCGAUACUGCUUUUUUUUCCAGCAUGCCGAAGCCGAGGAAAAUACAGUGGAAACUGUGGAAAUUGGUCUCAUGUUACCUAGUUUGCCAACAUGAUUACAACAAGGAUCUGAAACUGUCACAAAGAUGAAAUUCUUUGUUCCUGUGCUUCACAGAAACCUGCAAAAUAAUGCAGAUUGAGGCCUGAAGUGUUGUCUCAAGAAGAAUUUGCAAACAAAUCUGGGACUCAAUGGAACAUCAUUCAACUCCAUCUUCCUUUCUCAUGUUUGAGAGAAGAAGAGAUAAAGCAGUUGAUUCCUCAAUCAUGGAAUUGGAGUGGAAGAGCUCUAAAUUGACAGCAGGAGAGGAUCUAAUGGGAGAAAAUGAUGAUAGCUCAUCUAUUUCGAGUUUAAGCUCCAAAGAACUUUUAAUCAAUCAAGAUUUUCACGCUAGUCCAUUAAGAUUUUUUGUUAUUUCGUUCUACUGCCUUUUAUCUUUUUCGCAGGUUGUCAUCAAUAACACAUGGGGUCCUAUAGCAGACUCAGUUUUAUUCGCGUUCCCAGAGUGGAAGCCAAACAUCAUCACCUUGCUCGCAAACUGGAAUAGUUUGACAGUGCUUGUCUUCAUCUUUCCUGCAGUCUGGUUUCUCAACAAAAAAGGUAUCAAAUGAUUUAAUCUAGAAUCUGUGUAGAUAGCUGCAUAGGUA